rnacentral:rRNA from 1 species
GACAGAGGUUGCAAACGUUGUUCGGAAUUACUGGGCAUAAAGCGCACGUAGGCGGUUCGUUAAGUCAUGUGUGAAAUCCCCCGGCUCAACCGGGGAAUUGCGCCUGAUACUGGCGGGCUAGAGAUCGAUAGGGGUGAGUGGAACUCCAGGUGGAGCGGUGAAAUGCGUAGAUAUCUGGAGGAACACCGGUGGCGAAAGCGGCUCACUGGAUCGAUACUGACGCUGAGGUGCGAAAGCCAGGGGAGCAAACGGG